rnacentral:rRNA from 1 species
UACAGAGGUCUCAAGCGUUGUUCGGAUUCAUUGGGCGUAAAGGGUGUGUAGGUGGCGCCGUAAGUCGGGUGUGAAAAUUUUCGGAGCUUAACUCCGAAACUGCAUUCGAUACUGCGGUGCUUGAGGACUGGAGAGGAGACUGGAAUUCAUGGUGUAGCAGUGAAAAUGCGUAGAGAUCAUGAGGAAGACCAGUGGCGAAGGCGGGGUCUCUGGACAGUUCCUGACACUGAGACACGAAGGCCAGGGGGAGCAAAACGGGG